rnacentral:rRNA from 1 species
AUACGGAGGGUGCAAGCGUUAAUCGGAAUUACUGGGCGUAAAGCGUACGUAGGCGGUUCGUUAAGUUAGAUGUGAAAGCCCCGGGCUUAACCUGGGAACUGCAUUUAAAACUGGCGAACUAGAGUUAAGUAGAGGGGAGUGGAAUUUCAGGUGUAGCGGUGAAAUGCGUAGAGAUCUGAAGGAACACCAGUGGCGAAGGCGACUCCCUGGACUUGAACUGACGCUGAGGUACGAAAGCGUGGGUAGCAAACGGGAUUAGAUACCCUAGUAGUCC